rnacentral:rRNA from 1 species
GACGAACGCUGGCGGCGUGCCUAAUACAUGCAAGUUGAGCGAUGAAGAUUGGUGCUUGCACCAAUUUGAAGAGCAGCGAACGGGUGAGUAACGCGUGGGGAAUCUGCCUUUGAGCGGGGGACAACAUUUGGAAACGAAUGCUAAUACCGCAUAAUAACUUUAAACAUAAGUUUUAAGUUUGAAAGAUGCAAUUGCAUCACUCAAAGAUGAUCCCGCGUUGUAUUAGCUAGUUGGUGAGGUAAAGGCUCACCAAGGCGAUGAUACAUAGCCGACCUGAGAGGGUGAUCGGCCACAAUGGGACUGAGACACGGCCCAAACUCCUACGGGAGGCAGCAGUAGGGAAUCUUCGGCAAUAGACGAAAGUCUGACCGAGCAACGCCGCGUGAGUGAAGAAGGUUUUCGGAUCGUAAAACUCUGUUGGUAGAGAAGAACGUUGGUGAGAGUGGAAAGCUCAUCAAGUGACGGUAACUACCCAGAAAGGGACGGCUAACUACGUG